ACUCAAAGGAAUAGACGGGGGCCCGCACAAGCGGUGGAGCAUGUGGUUCAAUUCGAAGCAACGCGAAGAACCUUACCAGCUCUUGACAUGUCCGGUUUGGAUUUCAGAGAUGAGAUCCUUCAGUUCGGCUGGCCGGAACACAGGUGCUGCAUGGCUGUCGUCAGCUCGUGUCGUGAGAUGUUGGGUUAAGUCCCGCAACGAGCGCAACCCUCGUCCUUAGUUGCCAUCAUUUAGUUGGGCACUCUAAGGAGACUGCCGGUGAUAAGCCGGAGGAAGGUGGGGAUGACGUCAAGUCCUCAUGGCCCUUACGGGCUGGGCUACACACGUGCUACAAUGGCGGUGACAGAGGGACGCGAAGGAGCAAUCCUUGGCAAAUCUCAAAAAACCGUCUCAGUUCGGAUUGGGGUCUGCAACUCGACCCCAUGAAGUUGGAAUCGCUAGUAAUCGCGGAUCAGCACGCCGCGGUGAAUACGUUCCCGGGCCUUGUACACACCGCCCGU
rnacentral:rRNA from 1 species